UUUUAGAUACAUAUUUAAAUACACUGAUUUUCAGAUUAUAUAAGCAAAUAAAAAAAUAUUUGUCAAAAAUACUUUACCCGGGAAUAUUAAACAUAUGUAAUAAUAGAACUGGAUUAGUAGUUACGCCCAAGCACGGAGUAGCCAAUCGGAGCUCAUUUUCAUAUUUCUACUGUCGUGAUGCGAUGUCACCAACAAUAAUAGACCCUCCAAGUUGACUUUAUCUGCCUGUCGCAAUAAUGGGUAAUCGGAAAGCGUUGGAUGACUGUGGUUUGUCUUACGUGUGCUUGGCAUAGUUGUGUGAAAACCACCAUAUACUUACUAAAAUGUGUUCCAAAUCAGAAGAAAUAUUACCAGAGCUUAACGUGAAAAUAUCGUACAAGUAUAACCGACGCUGCGGUAUACUAGCAGCCAUUUUAGCGUUUUCUCGAUAGCUAACAAUAGUAUAUGCGAUUGUCAUACGAUAUGAUAUAAUGGGACAAUGAUUCGGAUCCAAUACAAAUAACAAUACUUUUAUUUUGUUUAUACUGCAGCAAA